UAAAAAAACAAACCCUGAUUUCCGUGUCCAACAUUUGACCGUCCGUCUUAUUUAAAAAAAUUAUAAAAAAAUUAAAAAGAUAAGUCACGUAUAAAAUAUUAAUCAUGUUUUAUCAUCUAAUAACAAUGAAAUACAAAUUAUAAAUAAUAUUUUAUAUAAGACGGACAGUCAAACGUUGGCACGGAAAUCCAGAGUUUGUAUUUUU
rfam:Oryza glumipatula chromosome 11, whole genome shotgun sequence.